rnacentral:rRNA from 1 species
CUACCUGAUUCAGCGGCGGACGGGUGAGUAAUGCCUAGGAAUCUGCCCGGUAGUGGGGGACAACGUUUCGAAAGGAACGCUAAUACCGCAUACGUCCUACGGGAGAAAGUGGGGGAUCUUCGGACCUCACGCUAUCGGAUGAGCCUAGGUCGGAUUAGCUAGUUGGUGAGGUAAUGGCUCACCAAGGCGACGAUCCGUAACUGGUCUGAGAGGAUGAUCAGUCACACUGGAACUGAGACACGGUCCAGACUCCUACGGGAGGCAGCAGUGGGGAAUAUUGGACAAUGGGCGAAAGCCUGAUCCAGCCAUGCCGCGUGUGUGAAGAAGGUCUUCGGAUUGUAAAGCACUUUAAGUUGGGAGGAAGGGCAGUAAGUUAAUACCUUGCUGUUUUGACGUUACUAACAGAAUAAGCACCGGCUAACUUCGUGCCAGCAGCCGCGGUAAUACGAAGGGUGCAAGCGUUAAUCGGAAUUACUGGGCGUAAAGCGCGCGUAGGUGGUUCAGCAAGUUGGAUGUGAAAGCCCCGGGCUCAACCUGGGAACUGCAUCCAAAACUACUGAGCUAGAGUACGGUAGAGGGUGGUGGAAUUUCCUGUGUAGC